GCCGAAUGGACUAGCCCCGAAAAUGGAUGUCGCUCAAACGUGUGACUGAUACAGAGCCAUUGCUACAUGUACUUGGUAGCAAUGAGUAGGAGGGCAUGGGGGUUGUGAUGCAGCCAUAGGUGUGAGCCAUGGUGUAACAGCUCCUAGUGCAGAUCUUGGUGGUAGUAGCACAUAUUCAUAUGGGAACUUUGAAGACUGAAGUGGGGAAGGGUUCCAUGUGAACAGUAAAUGGACAUGGGUUAGUCGUUCCUAAGGUUCAAGGGAAAGUCUAUGCAGUUUGGCAUUGCCUUGUGAUCCGAAAGGGGAUGGGGUUAACAUUCCUCAACCUGAGCAUGGGUAUUUGUAUGGUAACAUGAAGGAAGUUGGUGACACAGGCACGAGUCCUUGGAAGUGUUGUCUUUGCUUCUUAACCUUCAAGCACCCUGGAAUCAGUUUCGCUGGAGAGAGGGUUUAUUGAAGGGCAGAGUGUCCCAACCUUCGGGAUGCUUGGUGCGCUCGUGUCUGUCCUUGAAAAACCAACCGACAGUUUUAUCUCACCUCAGUGCGUACCCACAACCGCAUCAGGUCUCCAAGGUGAGCAGCCUC
rnacentral:rRNA from 14 species